GGCCCCAUCGUCUAGCGGUUAGGACAUCAGGUUUUCAUCCUGGAAAUCGGGGUUCGAUUCCCCGUGGGGUCACCA
rnacentral:tRNA from 1 species